AGAGUUUGAUCAUGGCUCAGAUUGAACGCUGGCGGCAUGCCUUACACAUGCAAGUCGAACGGCAGCACGGACUUCGGUCUGGUGGCGAGUGGCGAACGGGUGAGUAAUGUAUCGGAACGUACCUUUCAGUGGGGGAUAACGUAGCGAAAGUUACGCUAAUACCGCAUAUUCUGUGAGCAGGAAAGCAGGGGAUCGCAAGACCUUGCGCUGAUUGAGCGGCCGAUAUCAGAUUAGCUAGUUGGUGGGGUAAAGGCCUACCAAGGCUACGAUCUGUAGCGGGUCUGAGAGGAUGAUCCGCCACACUGGAACUGAGACACGGUCCAGACUCCUACGGGAGGCAGCAGUGGGGAAUUUUGGACAAUGGGGGCAACCCUGAUCCAGCUAUGCCGCGUGAGUGAAGAAGGCCUUCGGGUUGUAAAGCUCUUUCGGCCGGGAAGAAAUCGCAUAGGCUAAUACCCUGUGUGGAUGACGGUACCGGAAUAAGAAGCACCGGCUAACUACGUGCCAGCAGCCGCGGUAAUACGUAGGGUGCGAGCGUUAAUCGGAAUUACUGGGCGUAAAGCGUGCGCAGGCGGUUUAGUAAGACAGGCGUGAAAUCCCCGGGCUCAACCUGGGAACUGCGCUUGUGACUGCUAAGCUAGAGUACGGCAGAGGGGGGUGGAAUUCCACGUGUAGCAGUGAAAUGCGUAGAGAUGUGGAGGAACACCGAUGGCGAAGGCAGCCCCCUGGGCCGAUACUGACGCUCAUGCACGAAAGCGUGGGUAGCAAACAGGAUUAGAUACCCUGGUAGUCCACGCCCUAAACGAUGUCAACUAGGUGUUGGGAGGGUAAAACCUUUUAGUACCGGAGCUAACGCGUGAAGUUGACCGCCUGGGGAGUACGGCCGCAAGGUUAAAACUCAAAGGAAUUGACGGGGACCCGCACAAGCGGUGGAUGAUGUGGAUUAAUUCGAUGCACGCGAAAAACCUUACCUACCCUUGACAUGUCCAGAAGCUCUUAGAGAUUUGAGUUGUGCCCGAAAGGGAGCUGGGACACAGGUGCUGCAUGGCCUGUCGUCAGCUCG
rnacentral:rRNA from 1 species